GUCAACACUUGCUGGUUUCCUC
rnacentral:miRNA from 8 species